rnacentral:rRNA from 1 species
CCUACGGGAGGCAGCAGUGGGGGAUAUUGCUCAAUGGGGGAAACCCUGAUGCAGCGACGCCGCGUGAGGGAUGAAGUAUUUCGGAAUGUAAACCCCUUUCAGUAGGGAAGAAAAUGACGGUACCUGACGAAGAAGCACCGGCUAACUACGUGCCAGCAGCCGCGGUAAUACGUAGGGGGCAAGCGUUAUCCGGAAUCACUGGGUGUAAAGGGCGCGUAGGCGGUAAUGCAAGUCUGGUGUGAAAGCCCGGGGCCCAACCCCGGGACUGCAUUGGAAACUGUGGAUCUGGAGUACAGGAGGGGCAGGCGGAAUUCCUGGUGUAGCGGUGAAAUGCGUAGAUAUCAGGAGGAACACCGACGGCGAAGGCGGCCUGCUGGAACGUAACUGACGUUGAGGCGCGAAAGCGUGGGGAGCAAACAGGAUUAGAUACCCGAGUAGUC